GUUGAACGCUGGCGGCGGGCCUAACACAUGCAAGUCGAGCGGAUGAAGGGAGCUUGCUCCUGGAUUCAGCGGCGGACGGGUGAGUAAUGCCUAGGAAUCUGCCUGGUAGUGGGGGAUAACGUCCGGAAACGGGCGCUAAUCCCGCAUACGUCCUGAUGGUGAAAGUCGGGGAUCUUCGGACCUCGAGCUAUCUGCUGAGCCUAGGUCGUAUUAGCUAGUUGGUGGGGUAAAGGCCUACCAAGGCGACGAUCCGUAACUGGUCUGAGAGGAUGAUCAGUCACACUGGAACUGAGACACGGUCCAGACUCCUACGGGAGGCAGCAGUGGGGAAUAUUGGACAAUGGGCGAAAGCCUGAUCCAGCCAUGCCGCGUGUGUGAAGAAGGUCUUCGGAUUGUAAAGCACUUUAAGUUGGGAGGAAGGGCAGUAAGUGAAUACCUUGCUGUUUUGACGGUACCAAAAGAAUAAGCACCGGCUAACUUCGUG
rnacentral:rRNA from 1 species